rnacentral:rRNA from 1 species
CAGUAGCCGCGGGAAUACCGAGGGUGCGAGCGUUAAUCGGAUUUACUGGGCGUAAAGCGUGCGUAGGCGGCUUUUUAAGUCGGAUGUGAAAUCCCUGAGCUUAACUUAGGAAUUGCAUUCGAUACUGGGAAGCUAGAGUAUGGGAGAGGAUGGUAGAAUUCCAGGUGUAGCGGUGAAAUGCGUAGAGAUCUGGAGGAAUACCGAUGGCGAAGGCAGCCAUCUGGCCUAAUACUGACGCUGAGGUACGAAAGCAUGGGGAGCAAACAGGAUUAGAGACCCCGGUAGUCCCUGUCUCUUAUAC